UCAGGAUGAACGCUAGCUACAGGCUAACACAUGCAAGCGAGGGGCAGCAUAUCGAAGCUUGCUUGAUAGAUGGCGACCGGCGCACGGGUGAGUAACGCGUAUCCAACCUUCCCAUCACUCAGGGAUAGCCCGCCGAAAGGCGAAUUAAUACCUGAUGGUCUCCUUUGCAGACAUCUAACGAGGAGUAAAGAUUUAUUGGUGAUGGAUGGGGAUGCGUCUGAUUAGGUAGUAGGCGGGGUAACGGCCCACCUAGCCGACGAUCAGUAGGGGCUCUGAGAGGAAGGUCCCCCACAUUGGAACUGAGACACGGUCCAAACUCCUACGGGAGGCAGCAGUGAGGAAUAUUGGUCAAUGGACGGAAGUCUGAACCAGCCAAGUAAGCGUGCAGGAUGACGGCCCUAUGGGUUGUAAACUGCUUUUAUAGGGGAAUAAAGUGAGCCACGUGUGGUUUUUUGUAUGUACCCUAUGAAUAAGGACCGGCUAAUUCCGUGCCAGCCGCCGC
rnacentral:rRNA from 1 species